CGGACGGGUGAGUAAUGUCUGGGAAACUGCCUGAUGGAGGGGGAUAACUACUGGAAACGGUAGCUAAUACCGCAUAAUGUCGCAAGACCAAAGAGGGGGACCUUCGGGCCUCUUGCCAUCGGAUGUGCCCAGAUGGGAUUAGCUUGUUGGUGGGGUAACGGCUCACCAAGGCGACGAUCCCUAGCUGGUCUGAGAGGAUGACCAGCCACACUGGAACUGAGACACGGUCCAGACUCCUAGGGGAGGCAGCAUG
rnacentral:rRNA from 1 species